UACGAAGGGGGCUAGCGUUGCUCGGAAUCACUGGGCGUAAAGCGCACGUAGGCGGCUUCUUAAGUCAGGGGUGAAAUCCUGGAGCUCAACUCCAGAACUGCCUUUGAUACUGAGGAUCUUGAGUUCGGGAGAGGUGAGUGGAACUGCGAGUGUAGAGGUGAAAUUCGUAGAUAUUCGCAAGAACACCAGUGGCGAAGGCGGCUCACUGGCCCGAUACUGACGCUGAGGCACGAAAGCGUGGGGAGCAAACAGG
rnacentral:rRNA from 1 species